AUUUCAACCACACAUAUAAUUAAUAAACUUGGAACAAUACAGAAAAGAUUAGCAUGGCCCCGUACAAGGGUGACAUGUAAAUUCAUGAAGCUUUCCAUAUUUUU